GUGCUACAAGAUCUCGUGCAUUGGAACCCAUGGUUAUGGACCCAAAUCCAUUAGUAUGGAACAUUUUCUUUUCUAGUAAUCGUCGGUCAGCCAUACGGCGGUGAAUCCGUUCCCGGGCCUUGUACACACCGCCCGUCACACUAUGGGAGCUGGCCAUGCCCGAAGUCGUUACCUUAACCGCAAGAAGGGGGAUGCCGAAGGCAGGGCCAGUGACUGGAGUGAAGUCGUAACAAGGUAGCCGUACUGGAAGGUGCGACUG
rnacentral:ncRNA from 1 species